rnacentral:rRNA from 1 species
GACGAACGCUGGCGGCGUGCUUAACACAUGCAAGUCGAACGGAAAGGCCCUGCUUUUGUGGGGUGCUCGAGUGGCGAACGGGUGAGUAACACGUGAGUAACCUGCCCUUGACUUUGGGAUAACUUCAGGAAACUGGGGCUAAUACCGGAUAGGAGCUCCUGCUGCAUGGUGGGGGUUGGAAAGCUUCGGCGGUUGGGGAUGGACUCGCGGCUUAUCAGCUUGUUGGUGGGGUAGUGGCUUACCAAGGCUUUGACGGGUAGCCGGCCUGAGAGGGUGACCGGCCACAUUGGGACUGAGAUACGGCCCAGACUCCUACGGGAGGCAGCAGUGGGGAAUAUUGCACAAUGGGCGGAAGCCUGAUGCAGCAACGCCGCGCGCGGGAUGACGGCCUUCGGGUUGUAAACCGCUUUCGCCUGUGACGAAGCGUGAGUGACGGUAAUGGGUAAAGAAGCACCGGCUAACUACGUG